UACGUAGGGCGCAAGCGUUAUCCGGAAUUAUUGGGCGUAAAGAGCUCGUAGGCGGUUUGUCGCGUCUGCCGUGAAAGUCCGGGGCUCAACUCCGGAUCUGCGGUGGGUACGGGCAGACUAGAGUGAUGUAGGGGGAGACUGGAAUUCCUGGUGUAGCGGUGAAAUGCGCAGAUAUCAAGAGGAACACCAGUGGCGAAGGCGAGUCCCUGGACGAUACCUGACACUGAGGCACGAAAGCCAAGGGAGCAAACAGG
rnacentral:rRNA from 1 species